rnacentral:rRNA from 1 species
GACGAACGCUGGCGGCGUGCUUAACACAUGCAAGUCGAACGAAGAGCGAUGGAAGCUUGCUUCUAUCACUCUUAGUGGCGACCGGGUGAGUAACGCGUAAUCAACCUGCCCUUCAGAGGGGGACAACAGUUGGAAACGACUGCUAAUACCGCAUACGAUCUAAUCUCGGCAUCGAGGAUAGAUGAAAGGUGGCCUCUACAUGUAAGCUAUCACUGAAGGAGGGGAUUGCGUCUGAUUAGCUAGUUGGAGGGGUAACGGCCCACCAAGGCGAUGAUCAGUAGCCGGUCUGAGAGGAUGAACGGCCACAUUGGGACUGAGACACGGCCCAGACUCCUACGGGAGGCAGCAGUGGGGAAUCUUCCGCAAUGGACGAAAGUCUGACGGAGCAACGCCGCGUGAGUGAUGACGGCCUUCGGGUUGUAAAGCUCUGUUAAUCGGGACGAAAGGCCUUCUUGCGAAUAGUGAGAAGGAUUGACGGUACCGGAAUAGAAAGCCACGGCUAACUACGUG